rnacentral:rRNA from 1 species
UGGGGAAUCUUGCGCAAUGCGCGAAAGCGUGACGCAGCAACGCCGCGUGGGGGAAGAAGGCCUUCGGGUUGUAAACCCCUUUCAGGAGGGACGAAGCCCGGGCGGUGAAUAGCCGACCCGGGUGACGGUACCUCCAGAAGAAGCCCCGGCUAACUACGUGCCAGCAGCCGCGGUAAUACGUAGGGGGCAAGCGUUGUCCGGAAUCAUUGGGCGUAAAGAGCGUGUAGGCGGUCCGGUAAGUCGGCUGUGAAAGUCCAGGGCUCAACCCUGGGAUGCCGGUCGAUACUGCCGGGCUAGAGUCCGGAAGAGGCAAGUGGAAUUCCCGGUGUAGCGGUGAAAUGCGCAGAUAUCGGGAGGAACACCAAUGGCGAAGGCAGCUUGCUGGGACGGUACUGACGCUGAGACGCGAAAGCGUGGGGAGCAAACAGG